rnacentral:misc_RNA from 1 species
GAUGAAGAACGUAGCGAAAUGCGAUAAGUAAUGUGAAUUGCAGAAUUCAGUGAAUCAUCGAAUCUUUGAACGCACAUUGCGCCCGCCAGUAUUCUGGUGGGCAUGCCUGUUCGAGCGUCAUUUCAACCAUCAAGCCCUGCUUGCGUUGGGGUCCUGCGGCUGCCCGCAGGCCCUGAAAACCAGUGGCGGGCUCGCUAGUCACACCGAGCGCAGUAAUACAUCUCGCUUUGGGCGUGCGGCGGGUUCUUGCCGUUAAACACCCCCUUUUUACCAAGGUUGACCUCGGAUCAGGUAGGAAUACCCGCUGAACUUAAGCAUAUCAUAAGCGGAGGA